rnacentral:rRNA from 1 species
AAAUGAAUUGACGGGGGCCCGCACAAGCGGAGGAACAUGUGGUUUAAUUCGAUGAUACGCGAGGAACCUUACCCGGGCUCGAACGGUGCAUGAAAGUUCAAGAGAUUGGACAGUCCUUCGGGACAUGUAUCGAGGUGCUGCAUGGUUGUCGUCAGCUCGUGCCGUGAGGUGUCGGCUUAAGUGCCAUAACGAGCGCAACCCUUGUCAUUAGUUACCAUCAGGUUAAGCUGGGGACUCUAGUGAGACUGCCACCGUAAGGUGUGAGGAAGGGGGGGAUGACGUCAAAUCAGCACGGCCCUUAUGUCCGGGGCGACACACGUGUUACAAUGGGAGGUACAGAGGGCAGCCAGUUAGUGAUAACGAGCCAAUCUCAAAAACCUCUCUCAGUUCGGAUUGGAGUCUGCAACUCGACUCCAUGAAGUUGGAUUCGCUAGUAAUCGCGCAUCAGCCAUGGCGCGGUGAAUACGUUCCCGGGCCUUGUACACACCGCCCGU